CAGCUGUUGACACUGAUCUACCGUUUUCCACGUCAAGCCGAGUUACUGUUUGCUAGUCUUUGCUUAAUACGUAACAGAAAAUUAUUCAUAAUUGUCAAACUUUUUGGCUUGAAUCUGACAUGGAGGAAAUGUCUUAUUGCCCCUUUUCUGGUGGAGAAUAUUAUAAGAAUCACUUCCAGCCAGGUAUAUACGUGUGUGCUGAAUGCGGCCACGAGUUGUUUUCCAGCAUUUCAAAGUUUGAGCAUUCUUCCCCAUGGCCUGCCUUCUCGGAGACCCUCCAUGAGGACAGUGUGACCAAACAUCCUGAAGCAUGGGGACCUAUAAAGGUUUGCUGUGGAAAAUGUGGCAAUGCACUGGGCCACGAGUUUUUAUAUGAUGGACCCAAAGAAGGUCUGUCCCGAUUCUGAAUCUUCAGCAGCUCACUGACCUUCAUAUCGAAAGGUUAGAGGGAUGUAAGAAAAAAAGAGAUUGAUUUAUUUCUGCUGCUAAAGGCGUCCACAAUGGAUGAAGGGCUUUGUGAAAAAUUCCAAAUGGAAGUCCAAAGCCCUGAUGUAACACAACUUUGCUGGACAACAACAACAAAAGACUGAAAUGGACUUUUUGCAAGUCAAUGUUUAACAUUUCUACAGCGACAGAUUAAACAGUUAAUCAGUGUGAAUGAACCCAUUUCGGUGAAAAACAAAAAACCCUUAUACUUUAACUCACGUGUGUCAAACUUAAGGCUCAGGGGCAUAUCUAGGGAGAAUUGGACUUAAAAUAUCAGAUUGGGCAACUAUACAUUAGGACUUAAACACUGUCCAUAUAACCUAACAUGACACCAUCAAAUUUAAAAGUAUGUAUGCUAAAGUAACAAGCAAACAUAUGUUUUCUAUGCAACUGUAAUUGUCACUUUAAAAGUUAUAAUAAAUAAAUGAGUUAUUUUACAUUAAGGAGUAGUUACAUGUAUUUUUCAUUGCAUUUAGUUAAAUGUAUAAGUUAUAUCUGGCCCUUUGAGGACAACCACUAUGCUGAUGUGGCCCUCAGUGAAAAUGAGUUUGACACCCCUGAUAUAACCUAAUAGUUUCUGAAAAAUGUAAUUACCAGAUUCUACCACCAGAUGAUGCUGUACUGAAACCUUUUGCUUGUUUGCACGGAUUUCUAUAAAAUAUCUAUUUAAUUGAACAAAUUAUUGCAAAUUUACAUCAGAAAACAUGUCUAAAGUAAAUGUCACAACAUACUAAUUAGAUAUAUUUUAUAAUAUGUCAAAUAUUUCAUUUUCAAGUUAAAAAGAUAUGAAAAACAAGUUUAACAUAAUUUACAAAUUAGAGUUGCUGCUUUACUAUCAGAACAGACAUAUUUAAGCAUUGAGUACAGCAUUGAGAUAUUUUGUUUACAGACUUCCAGAGAGAAAUGCUUUCAAUUCUGUUUAUGUAUGUAAGAAAUGGCCUUAUCUGAUCAGAUAGGUUUUUGGUGUUGACACAUCCAACCACAGACAAACAGCACUAAAGGUUUUCUCUCUGCCAUUACUGAUCCAACUAAAAUAAAGCCAAAAAAAGAAAGUCACAUGGGGGCAGAAAUAAGUACCCUCAUGUCUUAAGAAUUUGGAGAUCCACCUUUCAGAUCUGCAUUUUGAAGAAGUCGUUUCUAGUUUCGACUUUCGCUCCGUCACAUCUCUGAAAAUCAGUCGAUUCUUCUUUGCAGCACUGCUUCUGUUUAUAAAGGCUUAUAAAGGUUGUGAGCCUUUUUUUUGCACAACACGUAUAAGAUGGACUUAAGUAUGGAUAAGGAUAUUCUAAAACGUUCAUUAGUUUAAUUUAGAUCCAUUCAGCAGAUGUUCUGUCUUGUUGCUGUACCCAGUUGACAGAUGGGAUCAUGUUUGCCUCUAGAAUACUGUUGUAGGUGGAGAGGUUCAUAACAACGAUUUCCAGAUCUUGGAACCAAAAGCAAAACAAACCUGACCUAUCACAAGGAGGAGAUUUUUCUGCAUAAGAACCUAUUUGGUCCUCAGAUCUAUAUUUUUGUUGCAUUAGUCCAGUGGAGUUCUUCCAGUUGCUCAUUCAGAUGUCAAUGUCACCUCAGACGUUUUUUUAAAGUCAAAUUAGCUUCUUUUAUGGCCACCUUUUCCAACAAGUGAUUUGUCAGUCUAAUCUUACUGUCAAAAACGUUUAAAUUAAACAUGCUCACUGAAGCCUGCAGUCCUGGAGAGGCGUUUUAGUGACCCAAAAGUAGUUUUGCAUGAAAAACAGCAGCUUCCCUGAAAAAAUGACACUUGGAAACUAUCUUUGCAACAGCAGAAAGAUUGAAAUCUAACGGUUAGGAAAUUAUUUUAUAAAAGUCUUGCCAACAUAAGUAUAGUUAAACAAAACAAAAACUGCUGAGAUUUUUUUUUUCUUUCUUUUUGGGGUUGUGUCAAAGCACAAACAAAGGCCCAAACAAAGAAAACACUUAGUCAAUUCAUCAAGACCUGCAGCUUCUUCUCUGAAAUUCUACAAAACUUGAAGAGAAGUGGUGCAUUUAUAUGCAUACAUUUUUAGAUUAAAUUUUGUCUAAAUAUAUAUUUACAAUAGUAAAUAAAUGUCUUAACUUUUAUUUUCACAAUCCCAAAACAUUCAGAAAUCCUGUUUAUGACCAGUCUGUGUAAAAAAAAGAAGCUUAGAUUAGCACGUUUCUGUACAUUUGCAAAAACUACAGUUUGUUUUACUUGAGGAAUUCAGUGAAAUUAUAUUAUUUUCAAUUGAAUUUAAAAAAAGCAAACCAAGAAUUCUGAAGAGACAGCUAAUUGAUUCUGCUGCUAGGUGUUCUGUUCUGUCUCUACAUAUUUUGAAAUGAAGAAACUGAAUUUAUAUUUUGAACCACAAAUAUGCAUCAAACCACUUCUGCUCCAAAAUUAUCUCAAUUUAGCAAGAAGAGAAGUGAUUUUUUUCGUAGCUCCAAAUAAAUGCAGGCGUCAAGGGGUUUAAAAAUUGUUCUUGGUGUUGUGACAACAUAAAUGAGAGGCCAAGCAAUGUCUGACCCAUUUAGAGAGAAGGAAUUGAAAUAAGGCCUAAAUCUCAUCACACCCUCUGAAUUAAGAGAAUUAAAUUGAAAUUUUCUGACAACACGAAGUUCUCAACAAAUAAAUGAGAAUCAAAGUGGUUAACAUGUACUUGUUUUGAAAAAUGCAAAUAUUUUUUUUGGAAGAGUGAAUCUUUAUAUAUUUACAUAGUGAGAGAAAUCAUGUAGAACUGGAAAUGUUUUUCAAUUAGAAGCUGGUUAACUACAGUACACAAACCAAUAGAAGAGCUUCACAUGCAGACACUAUGACAAACACAAAAGCUUUAUAAUCUUGGAGAAUUCAUGUGAAAAUAGGCUGUGGGAUGUUGAUACAUUAGCUUAACUGUUGGGAAGGUUUGGAACUCAUACAUCAAACUUGGUGGUGGUAGUGUGAUGAUUUGGAGUUUCUUUGCAGAAUGAGUCCCUGCCAAGCUUGAUAAAAAGAUAAAUUGUGAACUUUAACAGAAUUUUUGUUGGAAGUUUUGUUGAUGCAGCACAAAAACAAUGAAAAAAACAAACAGAAAUAUAAUCUCUAAAUGGCAAAAAACUGAAAAAUAAAAUGAAAAACAUAAAUAAAUGUAGAAAUAUAGUUACUGAAAUACAAUUAUUUCAUUGCAUUUGUUGUCACAAGUGAAAAAUGGACAUUGCAACGCAAUUGUUUCCGCUGUGUAAUAGCAAUCUCAAUGCACAAAUGCAUAUGUGAAAAACUGCUCUACUUGAAAGA